UACAGAGGAGCCAAGCGUUGUCCGGAUUGACUGGGCGUAAAGCGCACGCAGGCGGACGCGCGCGUGGGGUGUGAAAUCUGGCCGCUUAACGGCCAGGCGCCAUCCCAUACGGCGUGUCUGGAGUGAUGCAGAGGUCGAUGGAAUUGCCGGUGUAGCGGUGAAAUGCGUAGAGAUCGGGAGGAACACCAGAGGCGAAGGCGGCGACCUGGACAGGUACUGACACUCAACUACGAAAGCGUGGGGAGCAAACAGG
rnacentral:rRNA from 1 species